UACGGAGGGUGCAAGCGUUAUCCGGAUUCACUGGGUUUAAAGGGUGCGUAGGCGGCCCGGUAAGUCCGCUCUGAAAGUCCAGGGCUCAACCCUGGAAAGCGGGUGGAUACUGCCGGGCUAGAAUCCGGAAGAGGCGAGUGGAAUUCCUGGUGUAGCGGUGGAAUGCGCAGAUAUCAGGAGGAACACCAAUAGCGAAGGCAGCUCGCUGGGACGGUAUUGACGCUGAGGCGCGAAAGCGUGGGGAGCAAACAGG
rnacentral:rRNA from 1 species